UGGGGGAAUAUUGGACAAUGGGCGCAGGCCUGAUCCAGCAAUGCCGCGUGUGUGAAGAAGGCCUUCGGGUUGUAAAGCACUUUUUAUCAGGAGCGAAACGCUGUCGGCUAAUACCCGGCGGAACUGACGGUACCUGAGGAAUAAGCACCGGCUAACUUCGUGCCAGCAGCCGCGGUAAUACGAAGGGUGCAAGCGUUAAUCGGAAUUACUGGGCGUAAAGCGUGCGUAGGCGGUUUCUUAAGUCUGCUGUGAAAUCCCCGGGCUCAACCUGGGAAUGGCAGUGGAUACUGGGAGGCUAGAGUGUGUCAGAGGGUGGUGGAAUUCCCCGGUGUAGCGGUGAAAUGCGUAGAGAUCGGGAGGAACAUCAGUGGCGAAGGCGGCCACCUGGGACAACACUGACGCUGAGGCACGAAAGCGUGGGGGAGCAAACAGGAUUAGAUACCCUGGUAGUCCACGCCCUAAAACGAUGCGAACUGGAUGUUGGUCUCAACUCGGAGAUCAGUGUCGAAGCUAACGCGUUAAGUUCGCCGCCUGGGGGAGUACGGUCGCAAGACUGGAAACUCAAAGGAAUUGACGGGGGUCAUAGCUGUUUCCUG
rnacentral:rRNA from 1 species